rnacentral:rRNA from 1 species
GGAAUCUUGCGCAAUGGGCGAAAGCCUGACGCAGCCAUGCCGCGUGAAUGAUGAAGGUCUUAGGAUUGUAAAAUUCUUUCACCGGGGACGAUAAUGACGGUACCCGGAGAAGAAGCCCCGGCUAACUUCGUGCCAGCAGCCGCGGUAAUACGAAGGGGGCUAGCGUUGCUCGGAAUUACUGGGCGUAAAGGGAGCGUAGGCGGACAUUUAAGUCAGGGGUGAAAUCCCGGGGCUCAACCUCGGAAUUGCCUUUGAUACUGGGUGUCUUGAGUAUGAGAGAGGUAUGUGGAACUCCGAGUGUAGAGGUGAAAUUCGUAGAUAUUCGGAAGAACACCAGUGGCGAAGGCGACAUACUGGCUCAUUACAGACGCUGAGGCUCGAAAGCGUGGGGAGCAAACAGGAUUAGAUACCCGGG